ACUGAAGUGUGCCCUGUCGAGUGGAGGCUCAGUCCCAAUUCCUUACAUCUUUCAGCACCACGGUCCUUCGAGGCACUGGCGGGCCACCCGGGUGUUGUGUGCGGGUGGAACGCACCUAGCUAAAUGAGAAAUGGGAAAAUGGCAUUACACAACCCGGAUAGCUUUCUAUCUGAGCGAUGACAGUAAAACAAAGUUUCAUGCAUGAUAAGUGGUAUGAUUUUUAAGUAUCGAUUUUUCUUUUCUAAAAUGUAUUCCAAUAUAGUUCACCUUUAUCCAAUACCAUUGUAAGAUGUUUCAGGACUGAUUUAAAUGUAAGCUACAGAAAAUAAUGUCACAGAGAAAGUGGUUUUAGUAUUUUGUAUUUGUUUUGAUAGAAUUGCUGCAACCAUUAUAAGAGAGGGUUUCUGCAAACUGCCAGUCAAGUGGUUAAAUUCAAAUGAUAUUAUAACUUACUUCUUUGACCCAGCCCUGAACAGUCACCAGUGUACUGUCUCGACCUCUGCCAUCUCUCGCAGAGGGACGAGCAUUGACUCGGGACAUAUUAAUUCCCGAGCCUCUGCCUCCAGGUGGGCGGGGACUUCUACCGCGGCAGCGAUAUAGGCCACGGUCUGAUGCCUUGUGAGCAUCACUUUGAUGCAGACCUGCAAACUCCUCAGAGGAAUAAAGGUGACAGUGUCACAGGGGGAUUUUUUUUUUAUUGUAAUAAUGACACUAGUCUGAGCGUGACUUAACAAAACUCAGCAUACUUUAUCAAAAAUCAAUGUCAAAACAUCCUUGAGGCUUUUUUUUUUUGUCUCUUAGCCUCUGGGGUGUUCCACAAAGCCGGUUUUAUCACAUAACCGGGUAAGUUAACCCAGGGUUUGCGGUAACCCUAGGUUUUCCGUUCCAAAAGCAUCACGGUAUGUUAGUUGCUAUAGAAAAAUGCCUUGAAUCAAACCUGGUCGGAGCAGGUUUUGCGCAGGUUAAGUUUGAAACAUAACCCGGUUUUGGGUAUUUAAACCCGCGUUCACCGCAGAUUUCAUGUGUUCACAAUGGCAUGCCCUUUUGAUUAAAGAACUGCUGAUAUCGGAGCGCAAAUUAUACGUGCAAUCCACCGGGAGCGAUUGAUAAGACCACGGCUCGACAUCUUGGCAUAUGAAAUUACUUUUUGCUGGACUGGAGAGAUAGGCCUAUAGAUUAUCUCGCAAAUCUUUAAUAUAUUUAAAUAGCCCUACAUAGCCAACACUACCAAUCGAGGACCUGGCCUCAGUUCACUCCAGACUAUUUGCCCUCCGUUUUUUUGCAAAUGGUAGUUUUAUCUAGGCUAUAAUGUUGGAGAUUCUGAGCACAUCUCAGUCCUUUCAGAUGACCCAUCCAAGAUUUGUAUUGGCCUCCUAUCAUACAAAGAGCAAUAUUGUCUGAGUAAUAUGCCGAGAGGCACUUACAACACAAAGUAUAAAAUAGUCCUAACAGACUUGCAUCCACUGGAGAAUGUUUGAUCAUUACACGCACUAAUCCAUCUUGAUCUGUGAAGUUGAUGAAUUGUCACUUUUAGGUUUUCUACCCAGUUACCAAAAAAGAAACAUUUGGAAUAGUAUGCGCUGUGGCAAGGACAUGGUUUGCAUGUGUUACUUCGAAGGUAUUCUACUUGCUGUAGUUUGGUCUGGCUUUGCGAGACUACUUCGAAGGCAAAAAAAAUCUAAAAUACAAGAAAACACAAAAACCUACAUUCAACCAGUGGGGUAUGGCCCCUGACUCUCUGAGGAGGUAGGUACCUCCAGGUACCCCCUCCAUGCCAGGGCGCCCUGAAUUUAUGUUUAUUAACAGCUCCUCCACCGGGGUCAAGACAAUUUGAGGGCCAGAUCCAGUCUGACGACUGUCGGCCUUUUCACAAAUGGCUUAUUUGUAUUUAUACAAAAAAAAAGCUUACCAGUUUGUAUGUUUUCUAUCAGUGAUGUUGCUAGGUACACGUCCUGCGUCCCUGACGCAUUAAAAUCUGAAAGGACGCACUAAACUCACUAUCCAUGCGUCCCGGGGACGCAUCUCAUUUUCCCCAUGAAAAACGAUACAUUGUGAACAUUAAACAACUCGUGUUUAAUCACAGUAACUGGCCAAAGAAACCUUCUUGUGAGCAGACCGGACAAGCGCUGUUUCAACCCUCUGCGCAUCUACUCGGCGCAGACGUGAUCCCCUGUACAAAGUAUCGGGACAUGCUAAUUUAGCCGCUACCAAAACAACUAGCUCGUCACCGCUGAUUUCAUUUCAACAAUUAAAAAUACGAACUUCAUAGUAAAUAAACCCACGUUUCCACUGCUCGAUGCUGUGCUCAUUCGUGUCGAUU
ensembl:lncRNA